rnacentral:rRNA from 1 species
GACGAACGCUGGCGGCGUGCUUAACACAUGCAAGUCGAACGGAAAGGCCCUGCUUUUGUGGGGUGCUCGAGUGGCGAACGGGUGAGUAACACGUGAGUAACCUGCCCUUGACUUUGGGAUAACUUCAGGAAACUGGGGCUAAUACCGGAUAGGAGCUCCUGCUGCAUGGUGGGGGUUGGAAAGUUUCGGCGGUUGGGGAUGGACUCGCGGCUUAUCAGCUUGUUGGUGGGGUAGUGGCUUACCAAGGCUUUGACGGGUAGCCGGCCUGAGAGGGUGACCGGCCACAUUGGGACUGAGAUACGGCCCAGACUCCUACGGGAGGCAGCAGUGGGGAAUAUUGCACAAUGGGCGGAAGCCUGAUGCAGCAACGCCGCGUGCGGGAUGACGGCCUACGGGUUGUAAACCGCUUUCGCCUGUGACGAAGCGUGAGUGACGGUAAUGGGUAAAGAAGCACCGGCUAACUACGU